AAAUUGAAGAGUUUGAUCAUGGCUCAGAUUGAACGCUGGCGGCAGGCCUAACACAUGCAAGUCGAACGGUAACAGGAAACAGCUUGCUGUUUCGCUGACGAGUGGCGGACGGGUGAGUAAUGUCUGGGAAACUGCCCGAUGGAGGGGGAUAACUACUGGAAACGGUAGCUAAUACCGCAUAACGUCGCAAGACCAAAGAGGGGGACCUUCGGGCCUCUUGCUAUCGGAUGUGCCCAGAUGGGAUUAGCUAGUAGGUGGGGUAACGGCUCACCUAGGCGACGAUCCCUAGCUGGUCUGAGAGGAUGACCAGCCACACUGGAACUGAGACACGGUCCAGACUCCUACGGGAGGCAGCAGUGGGGAAUAUUGCACAAUGGGCGCAAGCCUGAUGCAGCCAUGCCGCGUGUAUGAAGAAGGCCUUCGGGUUGUAAAGUACUUUCAGCGGGGAGGAAAGGAGUAAAGUUAAUACCUUUGCUCAUUGACGUUACCCGCAGAAGAAGCACCGGCUAACUCCGUGCCAGCAGCCGCGGUAAUACGGAGGGUGCAAGCGUUAAUCGGAAUUACUGGGCGUAAAGCGCACGCAGGCGGUUUGUUAAGUCAGAUGUGAAAUCCCCGGGCUCAACCUGGGAACUGCAUCUGAUACUGGCAAGCUUGAGUCUCGUAGAGGGGGGUAGAAUUC
rnacentral:rRNA from 1 species